rnacentral:rRNA from 1 species
GACGAACUGUGCAAACGUUAUUCGGAAUCACUGGGCUUGAAGAGUGCGUAGGCGGUUUCGUAAGUAGGGUGUGAAAGCCCCCGGCUCAACCGGGGAAUUGCGCCCUAAACUGCGAGGCUGGAGUGCGGUAGGGGUGUGUGGAACUUCCAGUGGAGCGGUGAAAUGUGUUGAUAUUGGAAGGAACGCCGGUGGCGAAAGCGACACACUGGACCUUGUCUGACGCUGAGGCACGAAAGCCAGGGGAGCAAACGGG